UUUAGGGAGACCUAAUCCACUCAAAUAUCGAAGAACAAUCAGUUAAAUAGAUAUUGAGUUGGUCUAUCCUAGGUCGGUCGAGAUUGGUAAAAGCUUUCAAAGUAUUUUGAGUUCGGUUUAACAAUCAUAAAAACUACUGGGAAUAGUGUUCAGCAACAUGGCAAUUGCCAGACUGCUGGGUAAUAUCCAGCCAGAACCUUGAAAACUGCAUAGUAACGCGAAAAAAGCAGGCAGACGAAUCUAAGUGAUGAGUGCCCAGUGGUGAGUGCUGAUUUUAAUCAGUGUGAAUCACAAAGUAAACAGAACUUUGAAUAAGUUUGCAGUGGUGAAACCAAUUGUUUAGU
rnacentral:misc_RNA from 1 species